rnacentral:rRNA from 1 species
CGGCGGACGGGUGAGUAACGCGUGGGUAACCUGCCUCAUACAGGGGGAUAACAGUUAGAAAUGACUGCUAAUACCGCAUAAGACCACAGCACCGCAUGGUGCGGGGGUAAAAACUCCGGUGGUAUGAGAUGGACCCGCGUCUGAUUAGGUAGUUGGUGGGGUAACGGCCUACCAAGCCGACGAUCAGUAGCCGACCUGAGAGGGUGACCGGCCACAUUGGGACUGAGACACGGCCCAA